UUUUGCACACUGGGGGACACCCUGAUCCAGCCAUCCCGCGUGUAUGAUGAAGGCCUUCGGGUUGUAGCGUACUUUUGGCAGAGAAGACAAGGUAUCUCCUAAUACGAGAUACUGCUGACGGUCUCUGCAGAAUAAGCACCGGCUACCUACGUGCCAGCAGCCGCGGUAAUACGUAGGGUGCAAGCGUUCAUCGGAAUUACUGGGCGUAAAGCGUGUGUAUGCGGUUCGGAAAUAAAGAUGUGAAAUCCCAGGGCUCAACCUUGGAACUGCAUUUUUAACUGCCGAGCUAGAGUAUGUCAGAGGGGGGUAGAAUUCCACGUGUAGCAGUGAAAUGCGUAGAUAUGUGGAGGAAUACCGAUGGCGAAGGCAGCCCCCUGGGAUAAUACUGACGCUCAGACACGAAAGCAUGGGGAGCAAAC
rnacentral:rRNA from 1 species